GAGCUCUGGAACUGGGAUGAUCCUUCAGAGCUAGACCUUUCUUCCUAUUCAUCUAACAGUGAUUGGAUAUGGGGAGCUGUCUAUAGGAAGCGGGGGUGAUCUUGGGUGAGAAUGCUCUCUUCUGCUGAGAACAACUGCCAGAGGACUCAACUGAGCACCUUUAACCAUUAGCUGAGGCUUCUUAGCAGCUCCUCCGGCAUUCGGAUUGAUCUCUUUUACUGAGGAAGAGUUGCCUGAGAAUGGUUAGUGGGAUGCAACACAGCACCGUCUCUGCAAUUGGUCUCAAGACUGGAACUGGUACUCAUUGUCUCUCUUCUCUCCUAUCCUCUGCUACACAUUUUCCCCA
rnacentral:lncRNA from 10 species